GGUUGAUCCUGCCAGUAGUCAUAUGCUUGUCUUGCAGAUUAAGCCAUGCAUGUCUUAGUGUAAAUAUUUCAGUUAAACUGCGGAUGGCUCAUUACAACAGUUAUCGUCUGCACGGGCAACCUUUCUACGGAUAUCCGUGGAAAUACUACAGUUAAUACGUAUAUUACUGUGAGGAGAUCUCCUUCUAUGUAAGAAUCGCCGAACGCCCGUCAGAGUUUCUGACCCAUCAGGUUUCGACGGUAGGGUAUUGGCCUACCGUGCCUAUAACGGGUAACGGGGGAUUAGGGUUCGAUCCCGGAGAGGGAGCUUGAGAGAUGGCUACCACAUCUAAGGAAGGCAGCAGGCGCGCAAAUUACCUAUCCUUGACUCAAGGAGGUAGUAAAUAGCAAUAAUGACCAUGAUUCUAAUCGUGCGAUCGGAAUGAGUGGUUUCUAAACCAAACACGAACUCAAUUGGAGGAAAAGUCUGGUGCCAGCACCCGCGGUAAUACCAGCUCCAAUAGCGUAUAUUAUUGAUGUUGCAGUUGAAACGUUCGUAGUCGAACUUUUUCUCACUGUACUUUGAGUGAAUCGGCGUGUUCCACGCAGGCUUUUGCAUGAACGAUUACCAAGUUAUCCAUAGUAUGAAAGCUCUUCGAGGCAUUUGAUACUUAAAAGAACGGUCGAGGGCAUUCGUAUUCAACUGCCAGAGGUGAAAUUCUUUGAUUAGUUGAGGACGAACCAUUGCGAAAGCAUCUGCCAAGGACGUUUCUGUUGAUCAAGAACGAAAGUUAGGUGAUCGAAGAUGAUUAGAUACCGUUGUAGUCCUAACUAUAAACUCUACUAUCCAAGAAUUGGAUUGGUACUUUCUGAGAAAUCAAAGUCUUUGAGUUCUGGGGGGAGUAUAGUUGCAAGGCCGAAACUUAAAGGAAUUGACGGAAGGGCACCACCAGGAGUGGAACUUGCGGCUUAAUUUGACUCAACACGGAAAAACUUACGAGGAUAAGACAAACGAAGGAUUGACAGAUUGAUCGCUCUUUCUUGAUUGUUUGGGUGGUGGUGCAUGGCCGUUCUUAGUUCGUGGAUUAAUUUGCCUGGUUAAUUCCGUUAACGAACGAGACUUUGACUUACUAGUUAGAAUUUUCUUCUAGAAGGCCAUGUGUUCCUAACACAAGGAAGCGCGAAGCAAUAACAGGUCUGUGAUGCCCUUAGAUAUCCUCGGCAGCACGCGUGUUACAAUGAUGUAUAGAACAUGAAUCAUUAAUAUACAUCAACCCAGGGAUUGUUUGUUGUAAUGUCAAGCAUCAACGAGGAAUUCCUAGUAAGCGUGCAUCAUUAAUCCGCGUUGAUUACGUCCCUGCCCUUUGUACACACCGCCUGUCGCAUCUAUUGAUUAGGUUGUAUCAUGAGUUGAGCGGAGAUGGAAGCUUUGCAAAUGGUAUUACCCAGAAACAGAUAAAGUCAUAACACGGCAGCUGUAGGUGAACCUGCAGAAGGA
rnacentral:rRNA from 1 species